AGCGUACACGGUGGAUGCCCUGGCAGUCAGAGGCGAUGAAGGACGUGCUAAUCUGCGAUAAGCGUCGGUAAGGUGAUAUGAACCGUUAUAACCGGCGAUUUCCGAAUGGGGAAACCCAGUGUGUUUCGACACACUAUCAUUAACUGAAUCCAUAGGUUAAUGAGGCGAACCGGGGGAACUGAAACAUCUAAGUACCCCGAGGAAAAGAAAUCAACCGAGAUUCCCCCAGUAGCGGCGAGCGAACGGGGAGCAGCCCAGAGCCUGAAUCAGUGUGUGUGUUAGUGGAAGCGUCUGGAAAGGCGUGCGAUACAGGGUGACAGCCCCGUACACAAAAAUGCACAUAUUGUGAGCUCGAUGAGUAGGGCGGGACACGUGGUAUCCUGUCUGAAUAUGGGGGGACCAUCCUCCAAGGCUAAAUACUCCUGACUGACCGAUAGUGAACCAGUACCGUGAGGGAAAGGCGAAAAGAACCCCGGCGAGGGGAGUGAAAAAGAACCUGAAACCGUGUACGUACAAGCAGUGGGAGCACGCUUAGGCGUGUGACUGCGUACCUUUUGUAUAAUGGGUCAGCGACUUAUAUUCUGUAGCAAGGUUAACCGAAUAGGGGAGCCGAAGGGAAACCGAGUCUUAACUGGGCGUUAAGUUGCAGGGUAUAGACCCGAAACCCGGUGAUCUAGCCAUGGGCAGGUUGAAGGUUGGGUAACACUAACUGGAGGACCGAACCGACUAAUGUUGAAAAAUUAGCGGAUGACUUGUGGCUGGGGGUGAAAGGCCAAUCAAACCGGGAGAUAGCUGGUUCUCCCCGAAAGCUAUUUAGGUAGCGCCUCGUGAAUUCAUCUCCGGGGGUAGAGCACUGUUUCGGCAAGGGGGUCAUCCCGACUUACCAACCCGAUGCAAACUGCGAAUACCGGAGAAUGUUAUCACGGGAGACACACGGCGGGUGCUAACGUCCGUCGUGAAGAGGGAAACAACCCAGACCGCCAGCUAAGGUCCCAAAGUCAUGGUUAAGUGGGAAACGAUGUGGGAAGGCCCAGACAGCCAGGAUGUUGGCUUAGAAGCAGCCAUCAUUUAAAGAAAGCGUAAUAGCUCACUGGUCGAGUCGGCCUGCGCGGAAGAUGUAACGGGGCUAAACCAUGCACCGAAGCUGCGGCAGCGACGCUUAUGCGUUGUUGGGUAGGGGAGCGUUCUGUAAGCCUGUGAAGGUGUACUGUGAGGUAUGCUGGAGGUAUCAGAAGUGCGAAUGCUGACAUAAGUAACGAUAAAGCGGGUGAAAAGCCCGCUCGCCGGAAGACCAAGGGUUCCUGUCCAACGUUAAUCGGGGCAGGGUGAGUCGACCCCUAAGGCGAGGCCGAAAGGCGUAGUCGAUGGGAAACAGGUUAAUAUUCCUGUACUUGGUGUUACUGCGAAGGGGGGACGGAGAAGGCUAUGUUGGCCGGGCGACGGUUGUCCCGGUUUAAGCGUGUAGGCUGGUUUUCCAGGCAAAUCCGGAAAAUCAAGGCUGAGGCGUGAUGACGAGGCACUACGGUGCUGAAGCAACAAAUGCCCUGCUUCCAGGAAAAGCCUCUAAGCAUCAGGUAACAUCAAAUCGUACCCCAAACCGACACAGGUGGUCAGGUAGAGAAUACCAAGGCGCUUGAGAGAACUCGGGUGAAGGAACUAGGCAAAAUGGUGCCGUAACUUCGGGAGAAGGCACGCUGAUAUGUAGGUGAAGCGACUUGCUCGUGGAGCUGAAAUCAGUCGAAGAUACCAGCUGGCUGCAACUGUUUAUUAAAAACACAGCACUGUGCAAACACGAAAGUGGACGUAUACGGUGUGACGCCUGCCCGGUGCCGGAAGGUUAAUUGAUGGGGUCAGCGCAAGCGAAGCUCUUGAUCGAAGCCCCGGUAAACGGCGGCCGUAACUAUAACGGUCCUAAGGUAGCGAAAUUCCUUGUCGGGUAAGUUCCGACCUGCACGAAUGGCGUAAUGAUGGCCAGGCUGUCUCCACCCGAGACUCAGUGAAAUUGAACUCGCUGUGAAGAUGCAGUGUACCCGCGGCAAGACGGAAAGACCCCGUGAACCUUUACUAUAGCUUGACACUGAACAUUGAGCCUUGAUGUGUAGGAUAGGUGGGAGGCUUUGAAGUGUGGACGCCAGUCUGCAUGGAGCCGACCUUGAAAUACCACCCUUUAAUGUUUGAUGUUCUAACGUGGACCCGUAAUCCGGGUUGCGGACAGUGUCUGGUGGGUAGUUUGACUGGGGCGGUCUCCUCCUAAAGAGUAACGGAGGAGCACGAAGGUUGGCUAAUCCUGGUCGGACAUCAGGAGGUUAGUGCAAUGGCAUAAGCCAGCUUGACUGCGAGCGUGACGGCGCGAGCAGGUGCGAAAGCAGGUCAUAGUGAUCCGGUGGUUCUGAAUGGAAGGGCCAUCGCUCAACGGAUAAAAGGUACUCCGGGGAUAACAGGCUGAUACCGCCCAAGAGUUCAUAUCGACGGCGGUGUUUGGCACCUCGAUGUCGGCUCAUCACAUCCUGGGGCUGAAGUAGGUCCCAAGGGUAUGGCUGUUCGCCAUUUAAAGUGGUACGCGAGCUGGGUUUAGAACGUCGUGAGACAGUUCGGUCCCUAUCUGCCGUGGGCGCUGGAGAACUGAGGGGGGCUGCUCCUAGUACGAGAGGACCGGAGUGGACGCAUCACUGGUGUUCGGGUUGUCAUGCCAAUGGCACUGCCCGGUAGCUAAAUGCGGAAGAGAUAAGUGCUGAAAGCAUCUAAGCACGAAACUUGCCCCGAGAUGAGUUCUCCCUGACUCCUUGA
rnacentral:rRNA from 1 species